CUGCAGGAUCCCCGCGCUCACGAUGUUGAUGAUGCCCUCGGGGUAGCAGCCGGCGCCGGGGUACUGCGGGUCGAUGGAGAAUUUGCCCAUUUACGGAUGGAAAGAGACGCCGAGAAGACCGAGCGCGUCGCUGCUUUUUUUGGAAAAUGUCUGAUCUAUAUAUACCGUCGCUAAAGCUGGAACCGCCUGCUCCGCCGUCGAUACCCAGUGCCUGCUGAUGACACUAAAUCAUGCUGCACACAGGAGAAGGAAGAAUCAAGGUUUCACAUCCCACCCAUGUCUCAGUUCUACCUUUGAACUCACUUGAUGUUCUUGCUGUAGUGCUUCAUAUGUGCUUUGCGCCUUUGAUCCCUGUAUGGCUGAUUAUCCCAGACUCCGAGGAUAGAUUGUCCAACUCAGACUGACGUCAAUGAGCCUUACACGCAAAAAAUCCUGCUGAUUCCUGUGGUUCCUAUAAACCACGUGGUUUCAUAUGAUGGACAGAUUGCUCGUGUGAAUUGCUGAAGCCCCACUGACACCAAGCAGAGCUGCACCUCAUACACACAUGAUCUGUCUGGCUGGCUAUAACACUGAUAGAGGGGGGUUCAGAGCUGAAGGGUGGAACAUCUCUUGGGUAUUCCAAAUUUCUUGAAACUGACUCCCUAUGGACUUAUUAUAUUCACUCUAAUCAAGGUGCUAGCUGAUGGUGCACUGGGUAUAUUUUUCUGCAGUCAAUUUUGUACAAGUACUUGAGAUAGGAGUUUUAGAAAUAAAAUUGUCC